rnacentral:rRNA from 1 species
AGUGAACGCUGGCGGUAGGCCUAACACAUGCAAGUCGAACGGCAGCACAGUAAGAGCUUGCUCUUACGGGUGGCGAGUGGCGGACGGGUGAGGAAUACAUCGGAAUCUACUUUUUCGUGGGGGAUAACGUAGGGAAACUUACGCUAAUACCGCAUACGACCUACGGGUGAAAGCAGGGGAUCUUAGGACCUUGCGCGAUUGAAUGAGCCGAUGUCGGAUUAGCUAGUUGGCGGGGUAAAGGCCCACCAAGGCGACGAUCCGUAGCUGGUCUGAGAGGAUGAUCAGCCACACUGGAACUGAGACACGGUCCAGACUCCGACGGGAGGCAGCAGUGGGGAAUAUUGGACAAUGGGCGCAAGCCUGAUCCAGCCAUACCGCGUGGGUGAAGAAGGCCUUCGGGUUGUAAAGCCCUUUUGUUGGGAAAGAAAAGCAGCAGGUUAAUACCCCGCUGUUCUGACGGUACCCAAAGAAUAAGCACCGGCUAACUUCGUG